rnacentral:lncRNA from 1 species
CUAGCAUAUCGAUUUUUACUGAGCAGCCAUUCUCGGAUGCAGUUAACCAAGAUAUGAAACAGACAAAUUCAGAGAGGUUGGUAUGGACUACGGAGGAUUGCCACAAAACAAAUAAAACUAAUGUACAAUUUUACUUCAAAAGUAACGGCAACAUAUCAGGUUACUAAGAUAACCAAAACUCAGUAGACCACUGAACACAAACACAUGGUGGCUAAUUGGCCAUGGCUGCACUUGGCCGAUGUACAUGCCACCAUGCUCCUCAAAACACACACACGCAGACUCUGCUACAAUUUCUAAAUCCAAGGUCCCCAGACAGUAUCACGGCUAGCAGUAACACCAUAUUACAGUCCUUGAUCAAAAGCCGAAGAAACCAAGCUCGGUCGCCCUUUCCUUCUCGAACGUCUCGAAGUAUUGGUAUAUGAUG